CGUCUGUUAGCGUCUCUGGCUGCUGUUCAUCUUGUUUUUGGAGUAAAACACGGUGGAAGCUGAAUUAGUGAGGAUGACUCCUGCUCCUGUCAUCUCUAAGCUCCUCACACAUCUUUACCUGCACAUGAGGAAAAUCACUCCUGUAGAAUGCAGAUGUUCAGAGGGAGAUGAUGCCACAUCUGGUCCAGCUGAUGGAAGGUCUUGAAGUUCUCUGACUGGCCUCGACUGAAGAUGCUGGAGUUGUAACAUCUGUCCUGAUAUUGAUCAUGAAAUAUUGAUCAGAAUACUUAUGGUCAGCAGUCAUCCCUGAAGUUUUACAUUAAAAUUGUGUGGAGGAAUUUAGUCUCACAAUCACAGACAAUAAAUAUUAUCUGAAAGUCGGGUUAUUGUUGUUUAUCAGCACAAUACAAAAAGAUUAAUGUUAGAAAUAUUCCAGUUAAGACCCUAGAAUAUCAUGAUUUAUGUAAAUUUACCUCAAUAAUAUGAAUGUUCAGGUUAAGAUUGUGCAGUGAUAUUUAUUAUGUAAGUUUAGCUGAUUAAAGUUUAUGACUCUGCACUAAAAUAUUAUUUAAAUUGACAUCAUUAUUAUAAUAUUUAGGGUCAGACCCUACAGUAUUGAGAUUAAGAAAUCAAAUAUUCUAUAAAAUAUAAAUACGCUGAACUCAUUUGGAUAUAUUUAAGUGAGAUUCUACAAUAUUCUUUGACACAAAUCUAUCUAAAUCAAAAUUUUAAUCAUUUUUACUCCAAACAUUUACUGGACUGAUUUAAACAUUAAAAUCACUCCUUUCUAAUCCUCUGCUGUAUGUUCAAACCUGAGGCCUGAAAUAGAAACACACAAGUAUCUGAUUGAAGGAACUUCUGCAGAGUCCUGGUUCCAGAACAUGAUGAUAGAAUUAUAGACAAACUUUAACAAAAGGUGCCUGAGAGUUUACAGGUUUUUAUGUUAGAUUUCUUCAGUAAUUUAAUGAGAGUUAUCAGCAAAAAUCAAGUGUUCAUUUGAUGAACUUCAUUUCCUAAAACAUCCAGAAUUGGAGCUCAUAUGUUUGGCAGCUG
ensembl:lncRNA